GAAUUCUCUGCUUCUUCCGCUGUCUUCCUUUUUGGCUUCGAUGUGCACUACUGCAACCAAUCCAAGUUUAACCCGUGCAAACACCAGUAACCAAAGUGAAGCCAAUAGCAGACGGAGAGGAAACUGGGUGAGAUGGCUAUGCUGACCUUGGCAGUGGUGACGAGGCUAACUUCUCAAAGUUCACGUCUAGCCUGUCGUUCGAGACUUCAUAGCCACACACACACUGUUGUUUAACUACUAGGCUGGAGUGCAAUGGCAUGAUCUUGGCUCACUGCAACCUCUGACUCCUGGAUUCAAGUGAUUCUCCUGCCUCAGCCUUCCGAGUAGCUGGGAUUACAGGCAUGGGCCACCACACCCGGAUGCAAUGUCUCCAGUCAUGAAGAUGCAAGUGGAGAUGUAAAAGGAAGACAGUAGUAUGGUCAAGAGACAUGUUUGAUGACUAUUUCUUCAUUCAUUUAUUCAGUUCAUCAGUGAACUAUCAUAUACUGAGAAUCUCCUGUCUCUUUUCAACAAAGGAGGCCGUGGAAGGGGUAAGAGUGACUAAGGUCUCUGAGGAAAGGAAAAGCCGUAUCAUUGGGCCGCAAGAGGGAAAAAGCAGCAAAAGACAGAGAUGUGUUGGUGCCAACUAA
rnacentral:lncRNA from 13 species